AAUACUUGAGAAUCAAUAGCUUCUUUGAAGCCUCAGUAUCCCUUACAUAUGGUUAAGACUCUGAUGGCCAGUUCUGGUGUCUGAAUGAUU
rnacentral:snoRNA from 1 species